UACUGAGAUUAGUUGGUAACACAACAUGGA
rnacentral:piRNA from 1 species